rnacentral:lncRNA from 1 species
AAUUCCUGCUGUUCCACCAGGAAUCAAAAACAGUUCAGCUGAAACCAGUGUUCAAAUCUUUCAUCCAGUGUACAAUUUAUAGAGUCUGCUGUGUAUCUGGGAUGUAUGACCCAUGCAAAAGAGACACUAACAGUAAGAAAAAUCAUUCUGUUUGAACAUGUGAAGGACUCACAGAGUAGUCUUGACUUUGGAUGUAUCAACUUUGGUUAGCCAAGAAGCCUGUUAGGUAACUUCAUUAUAAGACAGACUUGUGUGUCGAGGGGAGAGGCCUAAAGCCAGAGAUAAAAAAUUGGGAAUUCCUGCAGUCAAGUCAAAUUCAGUUCCUAUCCUCUCAUGAUGGGAGCUGGCCCAAAUGGCUGCCACAGCAAGUUCUGCUGCUCAUGGGCCCUGUGUCCCCAGCCCUGGGACCUAGGGAUAAGUUUGGUUGCAGACAUUGCAUGGAAAAAAAAAAAAGAAAAGAAAAAAAAAAAGAAAGAAAGAAAAGAAAAGGGAAUUGCCAACACAGAUAUGUGUUUAAAGCUAUGAGACUGGCUGGGAUCACCAAAGUAGUUAAACCUAAGGAGAGACUCUUUUAAGUGACUGGAAAGAUAAAGAGGAACCAGAAAAUGGAACUGAGAAAGAGGAUCAUAGACGAGUGAAGAAAUAUUUUUUUCAUUUUCAAAAUUUUUAUAACUACAUUCCCCUGUUACCUUUUCUCCCUCCAGUUCUGCACGUCCCUCCCCCCACAUACAUAUACAUACAACACAAAUAUGUAAAUACAGCCUGUCCAGUUCAUAUAAAGUUCGUUCUGGGUGUCAGGGCUGACCACUUCGUAUUGGAUACACGUGCAGGGCUGAGAGAGCUCUUCCCAUUCUCAGCAGUCCCCAGUGGCUUUUUCUUUAGGGUUGAAAUCGUUCGCGCUCUCCCCCUUCCGUGUGUCAUGUCCACUGUGCAGGCCUUGUUUAGGCAGCCCUGUUGAUGAGACUUCAGCGGUGUAGCUUCUCUGACAUUUCUAGAGACACAAUUUCACAACACACUUCCUGUUCCUCAGAUCCUUACUAACUUGCCACUUCGUUUUUGUUUUUGUUUUUGUUUUUGAGACAGGGUUUCUCUGUAUAGUCCUGGCUGUCCUGGAACUCACUUUGUAGACCAGGCUGGCCUCGAACUCAGAAAUCGCCUCCUUCUGCCUCCCAUGUGCUAGGAUUAAAGGCGUGCGCCACUACCACCCGACAACUUGCCACUUCUUCUUCUGAAAUAAUUCCUGAGCCUUAUGAGUUAUGGUAUAGAUGUUGUGCUUAGAACUAGGUACCACAUGGUCCCAUGGUCUCCUGUCCUCUGCAUUUUAAUUGGUUGUGGUUUUCUGCAAUGGUCUCUGCCUGUUGGGUGGGGGUGGGCAGGCUGUGGUGGCACACGCUUUGAAUCUCAGAUGGAUCUCUGUGAGUUUAAAGCCAUCCUGGUCUCAGAUUGAGUUCCAGGAAAUCCAGGGCUACACAAAGAAACCCCGUCUUGAGAAAAAGAAAAAAAAAAAUUAGGAAACUAACUAGGCAUGGUGGCACAUACUUUUAGUCCCAGUAUUCAGGAAACAGAAGCAGGUGGGUCUCUGAGUUUGAGACUAUCCAAAUCUACAGGUUCCUGGACAAUCAGGGCGCUAUGGCCACUUAGAGAGACCCUGCCUCCAUAAGCAAACAAACAAACAAAUUAGGAAAUAUGCUAUCUUAGGAACCACAUAAAGAGUAUGUUUCAAGAAUUGGGGUAGGGGAAAGUGUUGUUGGGAUGGAUACGUAAAGAAUAAAAA